rnacentral:rRNA from 1 species
AUUGAACGCUGGCGGCAGGCCUAACACAUGCAAGUCGAGCGGAUGAAGGGAGCUUGCUCCUGGAUUCAGCGGCGGACGGGUGAGUAAUGCCUAGGAAUCUGCCUGGUAGUGGGGGAUAACGUCCGGAAACGGGCGCUAAUACCGCAUACGUCCUGAGGGAGAAAGUGGGUGAUCUUCGGACCUCACGCUAUCAGAUGAGCCUAGGUCGGUGUAGCUAGUUGGUGGGGUAAAGGCCUGCCAAGGCGACGAUCCGUAAAUGGUCGGAGAGGAUGAUCAGUCACCCUGGAACUGAGACACGGUCCAGGCUACUACGGGAGGCAGCAGUGGGGAAUGUUGGACAGUGGGCGAAAGCCUGAUCCAGCCAGGCCGCGUGUGUGAAGAAGGUCUUCGGAUUGUAAAGCACUUUAAGUUGGGAGGAAGGGCAGUAAGUUAAUACCUUGCUGUUUUGACGUUACCAACAGAAUAAGCACCGGCUAACUUCGUG